rnacentral:rRNA from 1 species
GGACGAACGCUGGCGGCGUGCUUAACACAUGCAAGUCGAGCGGUAAGGCCCUUUCGGGGGUACACGAGCGGCGAACGGGUGAGUAACACGUGGGUGACCUGCCCUCAGCUCUGGGAUAAGCCUGGGAAACCGGGUCUAAUACCGGAUAUGACUCCAUGACGCAUGUUGUGGGGUGGAAAGCCUUGUGCGGCUGAGGAUGGGCCCNCGGCCUAUCAGCUUGUUGGUGGGGUGANGGCCUACCAAGGCGACGACGGGUAGCCGGCCUGAGAGGGCGACCGGCCACACUGGGACUGAGACACGGCCCAGACUCCUACGGGAGGCAGCAGUGGGGAAUCUUGCGCAAUGGGCGAAAGCCUGACGCAAGCGACGCCGCGUGAGGGAUGACGGCCU